rnacentral:rRNA from 1 species
GAUGAACGCUGGCGGCGUGCCUAAUACAUGCAAGUCGAGCGAACAGACGAGGAGCUUGCUCCUCUGACGUUAGCGGCGGACGGGUGAGUAACACGUGGAUAACCUACCUAUAAGACUGGGAUAACUUCGGGAAACCGGAGCUAAUACCGGAUAAUAUAUUUAACCGCAUGGUUCAAUAGUGACAGACGGUUUUGCUGUCACUUAUAGAUGGAUCCGCGCCGCAUUAGCUAGUUGGUAAGGUAACGGCUUACCAAGGCAACGAUGCGUAGCCGACCUGAGAGGGUGAUCGGCCACACUGGAACUGAGACACGGUCCAGACUCCUACGGGAGGCAGCAGUAGGGAAUCUUCCGCAAUGGGCGAAAGCCUGACGGAGCAACGCCGCGUGAGUGAUGAAGGUCUUCGGAUCGUAAAACUCUGUUAUUAGGGAAGAACAAAUGUGUAAGUAACUAUGCACGUCUUGACGGUACCUAAUCAGAAAGCCACGGCUAACUACGUG